GAUGAACGCUGGCGGCGUGCCUAAUACAUGCAAGUCGAGCGAACGGACGAGAAGCUUGCUUCUCUGAUGUUAGCGGCGGACGGGUGAGUAACACGUGGAUAACCUACCUAUAAGACUGGGAUAACUUCGGGAAACCGUAGCUAAUACCGGAUAAUCUUUUGAACCGCAUGGUUCAAAAGUGAAAGACGGUCUUGCUGUCACUUAUAGAUGGAUCCGCGCUGCAUUAGCUAGUUGGUAAGGUAACGGCUUACCAAGGCAACGAUGCAUAGCCGACCUGAGAGGGUGAUCGGCCACACUGGAACGGAGACACGGUCCAGACUCCUACGGGAGGCAGCAGUAGGGAAUCUUCCGCAAUGGGCGAAAGCCUGACGGAGCAACGCCGCGUGAGUGAUGAAGGUCUUCGGAUCGUAAAACUCUGUUAUUAGGGAAGAACAUAUGUGUAAGUAACUGUGCACAUCUUGACGGUACCUAAUCAGAAAGCCACGGCUAACUACGUG
rnacentral:rRNA from 1 species